CUCUUCGAUUCAGCGGCGGACGGGUGAGUAAUGCCUAGGAAUCUGCCUGGUAGUGGGGGACAACGUUUCGAAAGGAACGCUAAUACCGCAUACGUCCUACGGGAGAAAGCAGGGGACCUUCGGGCCUUGCGCUAUCAGAUGAGCCUAGGUCGGAUUAGCUUGUUGGUGAGGUAAUGGCUCACCAAGGCGACGAUCCGUAACUGGUCUGAGAGGAUGAUCAGUCACACUGGAACUGAGACACGGUCCAGACUCCUACGGGAGGCAGCAGUGGGGAAUAUUGGACAAUGGGCGAAAGCCUGAUCCAGCCAUGCCGCGUGUGUGAAGAAGGUCUUCGGAUUGUAAAGCACUUUAAGUUGGGAGGAAGGGCAGCUAGCGAAUACCUGGUUGUUUUGACGUUACCGACAGAAUAAGCACCGGCUAACUCUGUGCCAGCAGCCGCGGUAAUACAGAGGGUGCAAGCGUUAAUCGGAAUUACUGGGCGUAAAGCGCGCGUAGGUGGUUUGUUAAGUUGGAUGUGAAAUCCCCGGGCUCAACCUGGGAACUGCAUCCAAAACUGGCAAGCUAGAGUAUGGUAGAGGGUGGUGGAAUUU
rnacentral:rRNA from 1 species